UACGGGGGGGGCAAGCGUUGUUCGGAAUUACUGGGCGUAAAGGGCUCGUAGGCGGCCAACUAAGUCGGACGUGAAAUCCCUCGGCUUAACCGGGGAACUGCGUCCGAUACUGGAUGGCUUGAGUUCGGGAGAGGGAUGCGGAAUUCCAGGUGUAGCGGUGAAAUGCGUAGAUAUCAAGAGGAACACCUGCGGCGAAGGCGGGUUGCUGGGCUGACACUGACGCUGAGGCGCGAAAGCUAGGGGAGCGAACGGG
rnacentral:rRNA from 1 species